rnacentral:lncRNA from 1 species
AACCUUCUCCCCUCAGCAGUCCUUUUCAAACAACUUUUCAUUGGUCAAACAACUUUGCAUAUAACAGCAACAGCAAACACCCAGAAACUUCCAUGCCUUAAGGACCGGAGAACAAUAUCUCCUGAAUCACCCUUCUUUGUUCCCUCUAAACUCUUUUACAUUUCUGAUGGCCUCAUUGUUAACAGUCUAAUGUUAUCAUCAACCAUGGGGCUUGCUGGCCCUCAUGGCCACACUCCCACAUCUCCCCCUUCUUUAUUAAUAUCAACCAUCUUAUUGACACGAAUUAUUAUGCCAUAUAUCACACAUAGGGGCCCACUAGUGAUAAUAUGAAUAUGUAUAUAUAUAUAUAUAAAUAUACAAAAAUGCAUGAUAUGUACUACUCCAUUGUACCCUUCUACUGCAGUUCCCCUGUAAUCUUAGGAAUAUUAAAACAAAAUCUUCUUAAAUCAUCAAGGCCUCUCAUAUAUAAUAAUGUUAUAUAUGGAGUGGUAAUUCAUGUCAGAAAAAUGGUUGAUAUUAAUAAAUAAGGGGGAGAUUUGGGAAUGUAGCAAUGGGGGUCGGAAAGCCUCGUGGUUGGUGACAACAUCAGACUCUUAAGGAUGAGGUCAUCAGGAAUGUAAAGAGUUUAGAGGAAACAAAGAAGGGUGAUUGUGGCGACACCCUGCCAUCUGGGGUUGCUUGUUUUCCCCUCUGUUAAGGCACGGAAGUUGCUGGGGGGGUUGCUGGUUAGAACUGUUAACAUUUAUUGUUUAAUGUUAUAUGAUAAUAAUAUAAUUAGUGUUAUUUCAAGGGUUAAUGAAAUGCGGGAAAAGCAAUCACUUUUUUGCUUUCGGGAACCUUGUGGUGGGCAGAGCAUGUGCAGAAGAAGAGGGAGACAGUCAGUCGAAGCCGCUCCUGCAGUCUGGAACAAAAGGAACAAAAUGAAGAACAUGUUAGAGCCAUUGCAGAUGAAAUGAACUUGAGAACCUCCAAGAAUGGAGACUGCACCAUCGCCCUGUAUGACCACUCUCGGACUGUCCUCAUGGGAUUAAAAAAAUAUAUAUAUUUUGUUUAUUUGUAAUGUCAUUAAAUUCAAUUUAUACUGAUUGUUCCUUA